UUAAUACCCAGGCUACUCGUGAGUCACGAUCAUCUCAUUGAAAUCAGCACCGUUUCAAAGUACGCAGAAAUCGUGAAAUACCUACGACAACAUUAUGAGCGACGAUCUAAAAAACAUGGCACUCGCUACAAAUUUAGAAGCAUUACGCUGUGCAAAUCAUGAUUUUUCGUUUUCUUUGUACAGGGAAGUGGCAAAAACCGAAACAGGAAAUAUAUUUUAUUCACCAUUCAGUAUCCAUGUAAUUAUGUUUAUGGCUAGCACUGGAGCAGCUUCGAAAACAUUUGAUGAAAUGGUUGCUACUAUACACCUAAAUGAAACUACUCAUUCACUGGAAGCAUAUGAGAAAUUAUUGGAAGACUUAACAAGUGGAAAUGAUAAUCUGAAACUGGCAACUGGAAUGUUUGUUGAUACAGCUUUCAAUGUCAAAGAUAGUUUUGUAGAAAACUCCAAGAAAUAUUUAAAAUCGUCUAUAGAAAAAUUGAAUUUCAAGAAUGACCCAGAACAGCAACGCCAGUAUUUAAAUAAUUGGGUUUUAAACGAAACCAAUAACAAAAUCAAAGAUAUAUUCCCUAAAGACUCUAUUAAUAAUGAUACUGCCUUAGUAUUGGCAAAUGCUGUGCAUUUUAAAAGUGCAUGGGCACAUCAAUUUAAGCAUGUAUACGAUGGCUCUUUUUAUGUAACUCCAAGCGACAAAGUACCAGUCAAAAUGAUGUAUCUCGAACGAGAUUUUCAGUACUAUCAUGAUAGUGUUCUAAAUUUCACUGCAAUUGAAAUACCCUAUAAAAACUAUGCUUUUAAAAUGAUCAUUUUAUUACCCGAUGCUAAAGAUGGUUUGAAUAAUCUGGAGAAUGAUAUUUCAAAAUUUAAAUUACAUGAUAUUUCAAAGAAAAUGACCCAGCAUUACCUUAGUGUAAGAUUACCUCGUUUCAAAAUAGAGCAGUCACUGCAAUUAGAUGAAACAUUAUCCAAUCUUGGAUGUCCAACAAUGUUUUCACAAGCGGCAAACUUUUCUAAUAUUGUUGAAGAUGGUAAACUAAAUGUGAGUAAAGUCUUGCAUAAGGCAUACAUUAAUGUAGAUGAAUUCGGAACUGAAGCUGCAGCAGUUACAAGUUAAUUAAACACGAACGACGUGAUAAUAUAGCCUGUAAAGCCGUGAAUUUGAAACAAACACAUUAUUUUGCAUCUUGCACUUUGCAGUAUUACGUCUUGUAAGUUGCGACACGAACGCAACGAACGAAUUAUUCGUAGUUACGUGUGAAAUUAAUCGCAA
rnacentral:misc_RNA from 1 species